GGACAGGAGACAGGAGACAGGUGUAUGUGGACAGGUGUAUGUGGACAGGAGACAGGUGUAUGUGGACAGGAGACAGGAGACAGGUGCAUGUGGACAGGUGUAUGUGGACAGGAGACAGGUGUAUAUGGACAGGAAAUAGGAGACAGGUGUAUGUGGACAGGAGACAGGUGUAUGUGGACAGGUGGACAGGAGACAGGUGUGUGUGGACAGGAGACAGGAGACAGGUGUAUGUGGACAGGUGGACAGGUGGACAGGUGGACAGGUGUGUGUGGACAGGAGACAGGAGACAGGUGUGAACUGAUGCUCGGUGACGUCAUCUAAACUGAUCUCCC